CCUACGGGAGGCAGCAGUAGGGAAUAUUGCUCAAUGGGGGAAACCCUGAAGCAGCAACGCCGCGUGGAGGAUGAAGGUUUUCGGAUUGUAAACUCCUUUUGUUAGAGAAGAUAAUGACGGUAUCUAACGAAUAAGCACCGGCUAACUCCGUGCCAGCAGCCGCGGUAAUACGGAGGGUGCAAGCGUUACUCGGAAUCACUGGGCGUAAAGGGCGCGUAGGCGGGAUAGCAAGUCAGAUGUGAAAUCCUAUGGCUUAACCAUAGAACUGCAUUUGAAACUGUUAUUCUAGAGUAUGGGAGAGGUAGGUGGAAUGCGUGGUGUAGGGGUAAAAUCCGUAGAGAUCAAGAGGAAUACUCAUUGCGAAGGCGACCUGCUAGAACAUAACUGACGCUGAUGCACGAAAGCGUGGGGAGCAAACAGGAUUAGAUACCCGAGUAGUC
rnacentral:rRNA from 1 species